GACAGAGGGUGCAAACGUUGUUCGGAAUUACUGGGCGUAAAGAGCGCGCAGGCGGUCGUUCAAGUCGAGUGUGAAAGCCCCCGGCUCAACUGGGGAGGGUCAUUCGAUGCUGAUCGACUGGAAGGCAGGAGAGGGAAGCGGAAUUCCCGGUGUAGUGGUGAAAUGCGUAGAUAUCGGGAGGAACACCAGUGGCGAAGGCGGCUUCCUGGCCUGUUCUUGACGCUGAGGCGCGAAAGCUAGGGGAGCAAACGGG
rnacentral:rRNA from 1 species